rnacentral:rRNA from 1 species
AUUGAACGCUGGCGGCAGGCCUAACACAUGCAAGUCGAGCGGAUGAAGGGAGCUUGCUCCUGGAUUCAGCGGCGGACGGGUGAGUAAUGCCUAGGAAUCUGCCAGGUAGUGGGGGAUAACGUCCGGAAACGGGCGCUAAUACCGCAUACGUCCUGAGGGAGAAAGUGGGGGAUCUUCGGACCUCACGCUAUCAGAUGAGCCUAGGUCAGAUUAGCUAGUUGGUGGGGUAAAGGCCUACCAAGGCGACGAUCCGUAACUGGUCUGAGAGGAUGAUCAGUCACACUGGAACUGAGACACGGUCCAGACUCCUACGGGAGGCAGCAGUGGGGAAUAUUGGACAAUGGGCGAAAGCCUGAUCCAGCCAUGCCGCGUGUGUGAAGAAGGUCUUCGGAUUGUAAAGCACUUUAAGUUGGGAGGAAGGGCAGUAAGUUAAUACCUUGCUGUUUUGACGUUACCAACAGAAUAAGCACCGGCUAACUUCGUG